GUUUUAAUGGCUGGGUUUACAAGAUGUUUUAAUAGCUGGGUUCAAGAGAGGUUUUAAUGGCUGGGUUUACAAGAUGUUUUAAUGGCUGGGUUUACAAGAGGUUUUAAUGGCUGGGUUUACAAGAGGUUUUAAUGGCUGGGUUUACAAGAGGUUUUAAUGGCUGGGUUUACAAGAGGUUUUAAUGGCUGGGUUUACAAGAGGUUUUAAUGGCUGGGUUUACAAGAGGUUUUAAUGGCUGGGUUUACAAGAGGUUUUAAUGGCUGGGUUUACAAGAGGUUUUAAUGGCUGGGUUUACAAGAGGUUUUAAUGGCUGGGUUUACAAGAGGUUUUAAUGGCUGGGUUUACAAGAGGUUUUAAUGGCUGGGUUUACAAGAGGUUUUAAUAGCUGGGUUAACAAGAGGUUUUAAUAGCUGGGUUUACAAGAGGUUUUAAUGGCUGGGUUCACAAGAGGUUUUUAUGGUUGGGUUCACAAGAGGUUUUAAUAGCUGGGUUUACAAGAUGUUUUAAU